AAUUUUUAGAUAGAAGAGGAAGAAGGCAAUUAAAGAGGAGAAUCACUGGUUUAACUUACCCAUCUGUGGCUAAGGUUGAACUGACUGUAAGCUUUGUAAGUGAUGCUUAUAAUGGUCUUGAUGAAUGAAGCUUCUUCUAUAUUAUGUGCUAUACAACACAAAGGGCCUCUGUUAAGAGACAAAAGGAUCCAGCAUAUCGCAGAACACCUACUUCUGAUAUUAGUAUGACUAUUAAAAAGUAGACUACUCUGAUUUUUCAGCAUUUACACUCAUCUUGGAAGUGAGAUUUAUAAAAAAUGACUAAUACUUAUAUAGUGUCAGGUGCCAUUUUAAAUUAUAACUCAUUUUAACAUAUUUGACCCUCACUAAAACCAUAGAGACAGGCCCACGUAGCAUCCAUGUUUUCCAGGAAACUUGCACAGUAGAUGUUUUGUCCAGAGUCACGGAUAGUGAUGGUCAGGGAUUCUGGCUUCAAAGUCUGCCCCUCGAACACUGUAUUUGUAAUGACGUCAUUACGCUCCACACAAUGCCGGAAUGAUGUGAGGUGAGCGCUCACCACGGAGAAAAGCUAUUUUCUAUAGAGUUUGAUAUUCCUGGAUUGAUUUUUGCCUUCAUCACUUUCAAGAUAUUUAUCCAACAAGGAUGUGAUAUGUUGGAAGCCAUGCACAGCUGCUCACACAUAGUAGGUGUUCAUAUAUUUAUUUUCCAAGAUUUUUUUCAGUAAACAGUUCCUCUUCUCUUUCCUCUUGAAUAAAAUUCUAGUCAAAGUUAAAUAUGUGCACUAUAAAAACAAAUGGCCGGUUCGGUGGCCUGCUUCGCAAGUGCAAAGACCCAAGUUCGAUCCCCGGUAUCAAAAAAAAAAAAAAAAAAUGGCAAUGCAUCACCAUGCAGUAGAAAUUGAGAGAGGCCAGUUUACGAUUAGCGCAGGACACAUAGGUAGAAUGGUGACGACAAGGUAGAAUAAUGAUGUCUGGGUUUAUUCGCCACAGGGUCCAUAUUGAUGGCAUCACCAGGGCUCUGUAUUUCAUGAAGAGUGAGGAAGAAGUCAAGGAAGAACAGGCACUCUCUGAUCUGCAGUUGGACUUCCCAUUAGCUACAUUGCUAUUUGACAACAUGCAUUUCUUCCUAACCCAACUUCUUUCUGCAACAUGAACAGUUCUUUUGGGAGUUACCAGUAUACAUUAUUAACCUAAACAAAAUAAAUACUCCAUGUAAAAAUCAGAGUUGCUGAGUGAGUGUUUCAAAUGGCUCACUGUUCUGAUGGUCUUAUCACUGUUUGCCUCCAUUUACUAAGGGGUACCAAAGUUGGUGGCAUCUGGAUUAGUGGAGGGCUCAUAAUUGGAGAGGUUGAGGCACUUUGAUGAGAGGAAUAAGAGGUAUAAGCUUAAGGAAAGCAAUGAGGGUCAAUAAAACAGUUAAUUCUUCAAGUAUGUGAGCAUAUCUAAAAGGGGCCACAUGGCUCUGCUCUGCCGCCAGUAUGUGCCAUGUGCUCAGGGAGUACUUGAAGGGAAUUUAAGUUGGGUGUUUAUGGACUUCUGAAAAUUGAAUAACCAUAUCUGCAGAAGGACAGACCAUAUUCAACAGAGAACACACAAUCCACAAUCCUCUGUUGGGUUGUUUAUUUUUGUGACAGUUUUGAAAGGCUGACAUAUCUCAGUGGGAAGCAGUAGUCUUGUCAUUUUGUGAUCUGGAAUGAGCUUUCAUGCAUGCAGUGAGCUGUUAUACAGGAUUGCUGUGAACCGGUCAGAGUUGCCUUGAGAGGCAGGAGGAGCACCUAAAAAGUUCUCCACAUGUGUGCACGAGAGGGCAUGCACUCACACAAUGAAGAAGAAGAAAAGGAGGGGGUUCUAAAAAGUCACAUGUAUUUGUUAGUACAGUCUCAGAAUGACACAAAGAGAAAUAGAGUAAAGGUUGAUGCAUAAAAGACUAUUUUCACAACAACCAAGAAUUAAGAAAAAUGUUUCUAAUAUAUU
ensembl:lincRNA